CAUAUACAAGCAUGCAUCCACAUGCAGUCGUUCCCAGAACGAUCCAAGUUAACACCAAAGAUGUUGAAGCCGGCGGCAUCAUCUUCCUCGUCGGUCCUGUGCUGGGCUGUCAUCGCCGCUGCACUGAUCAUGUGUGCGGCCAACGUUGAGCUUGUCCAUGGAGGUGGAAGGCCAGUGCCGAGACCUCCGGCUCCGGUAGGGCAUGUGGCUCCCAAGGAGCACUGCCCUGACUGCAGCGACAACCCACCACCGUCGCCCCCGCUUCCUCCUACUCCUCCGGCAGCCACAGCGGACGUACCUCCUGCUGCCAGCCAUAUGUAAUGUAUGCUUGCCGUGCUUCCGCGUUGCACAGCAGGCCGCUGUAGACAUUUCAAGGUUUACUUCAGUCCGUUUGACUUAUCCCAGUGGUACUAGUUCUUUUUCUUUUUGAGGCGACACUGGUACUAGUUGUAUCGCAUGGAUAUGUUUGUUUGUUCGGUUUUGCUAUGUCUCAAUCGACGAUUCUAUUGAGUGUAAA